GCCAGCCCGCUCAGAAACUUAAAGGAAUUGACGGGGGCCCGCACAAGCGGAGGAGCAUGUGGUUUAAUUCGAUGAUACGCGAGGAACCUUACCUGGGCUCGAACGUAAGAUGACUGUAGGUGAAAGCUUACAUCUCUUCGGAGCAUUUUACGAGGUGCUGCAUGGUUGUCGUCAGCUCGUGCCGUGAGGUGUCGGGUUAAGUCCCAUAACGAGCGCAACCCUACCUUUAGUUGCCAUCAGGUAAUGCUGGGGACUCUAAAGGAACUGCCUACGCAAGUAGUGAGGAAGGCGGGGAUGACGUCAAAUCAGCACGGCCCUUACGUCCAGGGCUACACACGUGCUACAAUGGCCGAUACAGAGGGCAGCUACCUGGUGACAGGAUGCAAAUCUCCAAAGUCGGUCUCAGUUUGGAUCGGAGUCUGCAACCCGACUCCGUGAAGUUGGAUUCGCUAGUAAUCGCGCAUCAGCCAUGGCGCGGUGAAUACGUUCCCGGGCCUU
rnacentral:rRNA from 1 species